rnacentral:misc_RNA from 1 species
UUUCCGUAGGUGAACCUGCGGAAGGAUCAUUAUUGAAUAACCAUUCUAAGAGGACUGUCGCUCACCCGUAUGGUCGUGCACUCCCGGCUGCAGUCGCACACCUCCAUGUCCCCCCUGUGGGCACCGCCGCGUGGGUCCCCCUCGGCCUUGCUAGAAUGGAAGCUUACGUUUUCACGCAACCUUUGUCUGCAGUGAAAAAUGUAUUUAAUGUUUUUACGAACACGCAAUCAAUACACCUUUCAACAACAGAUCUCUUGGCUCUCGCAUCGAUGACGAACC